GAUGAAGAACGUAGCGAAAUGCGAUAAGUAAUGUGAAUUGCAGAAUUCAGUGAAUCAUCGAAUCUUUGAACGCACACUGCGCCCGCCAGUAUUCUGGCGGGCAUGCCUGUUCGAGCGUCAUUUCAACCAUCAAGCCCUGCUUGCGUUGGGGUCCUGCGGCUGCCCGCAGGCCCUGAAAACCAGUGGCGGGCUCGCUAGUCGCACCGAGCGCAGUAAUACAUCUCGCUUUGGGCGUGCGGCGGGUUCUUGCCGUUAAACACCCCCUUUUUACCAAGGUUGACCUCGGAUCAGGUAGGAAUACCCGCUGAACUUAAGCAUAUCAAUAAGCGGAGGA
rnacentral:misc_RNA from 1 species